AAUUUCCCAAAUCCCAGAAACCCUAACCCUAAUUUCUUAUCCCAGCCACCAAACCCCCUCCAACGUAAUACAUGCUUCAGAAACAGAACAUCAGAGAGGGAGAGUGAGGAGUUAGGGGUGAACCAGGGGAAGGGAAAUCGGAGAAGAGGGAGCCGUGCCUAACCACCGUCCGCUCUGCCGCGCCUCUCGUCACCAUCAGGUCCGUCGUCGCCGUUCGUGGAGCCACGAGGAGCACCGCCGUCGAAGCCACGCCAAUCGUCACUGCCCAGUCGUCGCUCUGCCUCCCACCAAGCCCGUUCCGCCGCUAACGUCGCCGAAGGGAGAGCGACCACCACGAGGAGCCACCGCCGUCCUCUCUCGUCGUCUUCCUUGGAGCCGUCACCGUCGAGGGGCCAGCAGAGGGAGAGAAAACGAAUGCGAGAGUCAAGGUCACCACCGAGGAGAGGAGCUGUGUUCCACGCUGCUGUCGCCACCAGUCCACGGCCACCACUGCGAGGGUUCCGCCGUCGUUGUUCCAGUGUCGCCAUUCAUGCCCUCCGUUCCCUUCGUCGUUCUAUCCAGCAUCACCAGCACUGAAGUCAGCUUCUACCACCAUCAAGCCUGAAGGGAAGCGCCACUGCUAUUGCCCGACAGUAGUUUCCCCUUUGUUCCCAAUUCCAUUCCUGAAACUUAUUAUCGUCCUUAUCCGGAACCACUGAUGUCACCGCUAUAGAGAUGAUUGGGAUAGGCGCGAUUGUCAUUGUUGUUGCUGCCCCAGAAGAAGUGAGGCUGCUGCUGCUGUUCCGGCCGCAUUGGCUGUUGUAAACUGGGAAAAAGAAAGGGAUCGUUGCGUUUAAAUUCGACGGUUUCGACUAAUUGAGGUAGGGGAUUUAACGUUUUUAAUUUAGAAUGCCUACCAAGUUAUUGGAUAAGUGCAAAUGGUUAAUAAUAUUUAAGAAUUUCUUAAUCAACAUGAAUGUCCUGAAAUGCUUUUGAAAUUAGUUAGUUGUUGUGAAUAUUCUGAGCUGUGAUUGAACUUAGAUGCUGUUGUGAAUAAUUAUUAAUUUAGUGUAAAUUAUUAAACUGAAAUAUGCCCAGUUAAUUAUUGAACAGCUGUUGAAUAGAUAAUUGAUGAAUUUAGUUUGGAUUGCUGCUGCGAAUGUAAUUGGUUUUGUUGUUAUGAGAGACUAAUUGAUAGAAAUAAGCUUAGUUUGAGAUUGUGAAAUUUGGAUUAUUGACUCAGGUUAAGGCUGUGAAUGUCUUUGGGCUUUGUUGCGAGUGUUUGAAGUUGUAAUUGAUAUUGUUUUCUCUGAUAUGGAUGGAAUUGUUGAAAAGUUCUGACUCUAUGUGAUUAUACUGAAUUAGUUGAGUUGUGUGGCUGAAAUUAUGAUUGGAAAAUGAUUGAGAUUUUUGAUUGGAACUUUGGUUGAAUUUGUUGAUUUUGUGAGAUUGAAUUAUAAAUUGUGUGAUGAGAGAUUAUUGUGAUUUCGGUAUUUUGAUGGGUCAAAUUGAAACUAUUGCUGUUGAGUUGGUUUAUUGUAAUGAGUUAGUUAGUGAUUAAUUGAAGUUGGGCUUAAGGAAUAAUUGGAAGAUUGAAUCUUAAAAUGUUGAACUAGUUGCUGAAAAUAUGAUUUUUGAGAUUAAAAGAUGACUGUGGAAGUGAAUCAGUUAUUCAACGAUAAUCGAAAUGAUAUGAGAGUAAAGGCUGAGUAAACUAUAAUAAAAGUUGUUGUUAGGAUCCAAUUUUGAGAAGUUUGAAUUAAUUUUAGAACUAGUUAUGAUUUUUCAGAGUUAAAAUGUAAAACUUGAUUUUCUGCAUUAUUUUUAAAGGAAGCCGGAAACUUUGAAAAACUAUAACUAUUUCUGUGAUUAUCGGAAUUGCGUGGGACCAAGUCCGGAUUGAGCUUGGGAAUAUAGGGAACUAGACUGCUGAAUUUGAGACUUUUUCGCUAAGUUUAUGAUUUAUGGUAAAUUUUUGAAUCAUGGAUGUCAAAUCUGGUUUUUUCUGCUGAGCAUUUAACACAGCAGCAACUUGUUUCCUCUAUUAGAAAUUCUCCAGUUUGCAUUUUGAAAUGGAACCAAUUUUAUAUGAAACUUUGGCCUUAUUAAUUUAAUUUCAUAAAAAUUUGGAAUUGUUAGAGUUGUGGUUUUAAAGAUUUGGAUUUUCAAAGAAAGAUGUAUUAUGCAGUAAAAGUCAGGUUUUGUUUUCUAAGUCAGUAACUUUGAGGCUUUAUAAUUUUUAAAUCUGGAUUGAUAUUGAGAUGCAACCAAUUGGAGGUGAAAGUUGAGUAUGUUUAGUAUAUAUGAUUCAAAUUUCAGGGUUUUCCAUGUUUUAACAAGUGAGUUAUGGAACUUGGAAGAGGUUGUGUUCAAUGAUUUGUAAAACAGAAUUCUGCAGAAAAUUACCUAACUUCCAAGCUACGUAACUCCUUCAUUAAAAAUGGUAUGACCCUGGAACCAAUUGAGAAAGAAAUUUGGAUGAGUUAUGUUUAACCACAUUAAUUUUGAAGGUAGUUGGAUUUAAUUUGGAUUUUAUAUGAAAUUUCGAAUGUUGUAUGCUGCUGCUGUUUUCUGGUUUUGAAACACUGCAGAGCAGUCACGGUUUUGCUUAUAUUCUUGAAGCUAGAGUCAGCGAAAAAUUAUGAAUUUUGAUUUAAUAGAAAGCUUAAUUCGAGACGGUCGCAUGGAUAUAAAGUUUGCGUGAUUCCGAAUUCAUUUGAUAUUUUAAAAACAAAAUGGAAAUCAGGCUGCCAAGUUGUGUUGGAAUUUAAGAAAUAGAUUUUCUAUACUAUUAUCAAAUGUUGUUGAGAAUAUAUAUUAUUGUGGCAACUGCUGAAAAAGGGCUGUGAUUUGUUGAGAAAAAGGGAACCCGUAAGGGUGGCUAAGCCCGAGUUUUAGGGGAGGUGCUGCCGAAAUUUUGUAAAAUCUGAGGUUUGUACAACAUGAUUGAAUAAAGAAAGAGAGAGAUAUUGUGUAAGAAUAUGUAACUAGAAAUGAAUAAUGAGAAUGAUAACUUAUGAUGAUAGUUACACUGAUUCUUUUGAGGAAAGAUAUUCAGUUUAUGAAAUUAUUGGCAAGGACGUGGGUUUUGUCCCGCUUGCAUAUUUAUGAUUAUAAAAGAGAAUAAGAAGCAGAGCACCUGUUGAAAGGUCAUUUGUUGCUUGAGGCAACCCAUGAGAUGUGUUUAUUCAUUUGUUGCAUUAAGGCAACUCCAGAUAUACUUGUAUGAUCAUCUGCUGCAGUGAGGCAGUCAGAUAGAUAAUGGUAUGAUUACUGAGAACGCUUUCCUACGGUACAGAUCCAUAUUUUAAUUCUGUAAGGCAGAAGGGUUAUUUCCUGCUACAGAAGUACCGUGACCACCUGUUCCAUUUCUGUAGUGGCAGAGGGGUUAUUUCCUGUAUACAGAAGGUGUGUCGGCGUACAUCCCUGCAGUGGCAGAUGUUUUAUUUCCUGCGUGCAGUGGGCCCUGUGGUGGCAGAGGGGUUAUUUCCUGUACACAGGGGUAUAGCCAAUAGGAAAGCCUUAUCCAGACAAAGGUUGCUGGAUAAUGUCGGGAGCGGGUUAAUAACCGACAGAUGAGCUCAUUACCUGCACUAGGGUUAGACAUGCAUCAUCCUUGUGUGUGCAUUUGCAUUUGAUUGGGUUUGCUCGUUGUACUUCCCUGUGAUUUUGCUGUUUGCCUUGCUGUGAUUUGUUUGUGUGUUGAAUUGAAUCUUUUGUUAGUGUUAUUUGUUGGUGAGUGUAUGAUGACGAUUAAGAAUUGACGUUGUGAUUGGAAAUUAAUUAUGUGGUUGAAAAAUGUUUAAAGUGACCAGUUUUAUAUUUUGGAAUUUGUUUCGAGCUUAGGUUUUUGAAAGAGGUAAAUAGUUAGUUAAAGUAAAACCAAGAAUAGUAUUUUCAAAAAGGUUUGACAAAAAUAUAGUUUCCUUGAGUAUAUUAAUUAUUUGCAUUCUAUUUCAUUACUUUUACGGCAUUCCCAUUCCCUACUGAGAACGUGUGGUUUGUUCUCACCCCAAAAUCUUCCACCCUUUCAGUGACACAGGUACGAAGAUUCAGUUUGAAGCUGCGGGCGAUUCUAGAAUUUAUUUACGAGUUAAGUUUAUGACUCGAGUUAUUUUCAUAAAAGUUCCCUCGCUCCUAUUGCUUAACAUUUUUUUUUUAUACAGAGAGAUAGGAUUUGUAUGUGAGUUUUAUUUGAAAUCUUUUGUAUGAUAGAUAUUAUUAUUAAUGAUUAUGUGAUUAUUAUUACUUGGUGAUGCUUGCUAUAUGAUUUUAAUUAUCAAAAACAAAAUUUUCUGGUAUUUUUACUAAAAUAAAAUCGCGAUAUCGAACUAAAGGCUCAAUAGUAAAUAGUUAAUAAAGGAAAGCAGGUUGGUAACACCUUACUUUCGGUACGAUCAUGACGUUCUGGAAGUUGGGUCGUUACACCAACAGCAUCAGCAGCCCUUUUGUCAGCCUUUUUCAGAGUUUUGCUCAAAUCCCUCAAUUUCAGACAGAAUUUACCUGAAAUCACAGAAAAACACACAAACUCAUAAUAAAGUCCAGAAAUGUGAAUUUAACAUAAAAACUAAUGAAAACAUCCUUAAAAGUAGCUUGAACUUACUAAAAACAACCUAAAAACAAUGCCAAAAAGCGUAUAAAUUAUUCGCUCAUCAACAACCUGCCUUGUUCUCAUUACAAUUGGCAGACAAAUCAUUAAGACAAUCUUAUGGAAUAGUGGAGGACGUGUUAGUAAAGGUUGAAGGCUUUUACAUCCCUGCUGAUUUCAUAAUCUUAGACACUAGGAAGGAAGAAGAUGAAUGCAUCAUCCUUGGAAGACCUUUCCUAGCCACAGCAGAAGCUGUGAUAGAUGUUAACAGAGGUGAAUUAGUCCUUCAAUUGAAUGAGGACUACCUUGUGUUUAAGGCACAUGGCCAUCCCUCUGUGACAAAAGAGAGUAAGCAUGAAGAGCUUCUCUCAGUUCAGAGUCAAGAAGAGGCCCCACAGUCAAACUCUAAGUUUGGUGUUGUGAGGCCACAACCAAACUCUAAGUUUGGUGUUAAGAUCCCAUAUCCAAACUCUAAGUUUGGUGUUGGGACUAUACAACAUUGACCUGAUCACCUUUGUGGCUCCAUGAGAGCCACUGUCAAGCUAUUGACAUUA